rnacentral:rRNA from 1 species
GACGGAGGAUGCAAGCGUUAUCCGGAAUGAUUGGGCGUAAAGCGUCUGCAGGUGGCAGUUCAAGUCUGCUGUCAAAGACCGGGGCUUAACUUCGGAAAGGCAGUGGAAACUGAACAGCUAGAGUAUGGUAGGGGUAAAGGGAAUUUCCAGUGGAGCGGUGAAAUGCGUAGAGAUUGGAAAGAACACCGAUGGCGAAGGCACUUUACUGGGCUAUUACUAACACUGAGAGACGAAAGCUAGGGUAGCAAAUGGG